rnacentral:rRNA from 1 species
GCGUGAGGGAUGACGGCCUUCGGUUUGUAAACCUCUUUCACCAGGGACGAAGCGUGAGUGACGGUACCUGGAGAAGAAACGACCGGCCAACUACGUGCCAGCAGCCGCGGUAAUACGGAGGGUGCGAGCGUUAUCCGGAAUUACUGGGCGUAACUAAUUCGUAGGUGGUUUGACUCGUCCGCAGUGAAAUCCCUAUAACUCAAUGUGGAAUCAGUCAGAUAUACGGGGAAACUUAAUUUAACCAGGGAGACUGGAAUCCCUGGUGUAAAGGUGAAAUGCCACAUAUAUCAGGAGGAACUCCGAUAGAGAAGGGAAGACUCUGGGUCGUAACUGAUGCUGAUGAGCGAAAGCUGCGUAGCGAACAAUUAGAUACCCUGGAAUCCACGCCGUAAAAGGUGGGUUCUAGGUGUGGGUUCCCUUUCACGGGAUCCGUGCCGUAGCUAACGCAUUAAGUACCCCGCCAGGGGAGUACGCCGCAAGGCGAAAACUCAAAGGAAUUGCGGGGGCCCGCACAA